UGACUGUCAGCGAGGUCUUGAAACGACCAAACAACAACCGCACGGAAAUCACCUUUCCAGGCAGUGGACCAAGAGAAGCCGCUUCUACACACCAAUCUGAUAAGGCAGUGGACCAGGAGAAGCCGCUUCUACACACCAAUCUGAUGCAGUCGACCAAGAGAAGCCGCUUCUACACACCAAUCUGGCAGUCGACCAAGAGAAGCCGCUUCUACACACCAAUCUGGCAGUGGACCAAGAGAAGCCGCUUCUACACACCAGUCUGAUAAGGCAGUGGACCAAGAGAAGCCGCUUCUACACACCAGUCUGAUAAGGCAGUGGACCAAGAAAAGCCGCUUCUACACACCAAUCUGAUAAGGUAGUGGACCAAGAGAAGCCGCUUCCACACACCAAUCUGAUAAGGUUAGUUUUAAAUAAGCGCGAUGUCAGUUGUCACCUUGUUUAGCCAACGUUCUUGCCUGUUGUGUGUCUCAUGAUGUACUGCACUGGGCUCAGAAUCACUGUUGACGAUUGUGCAAAUUUGCCCAUGACAAGGCAGAGUCUGAUGAGACAUAGAGUGAGACAGACAAGGCAGAGUCUGAGGAGACAUGUUGGUGGACUGGUGGCGCAGUGGUUAGCGCAGUCACCUCACAGCAAGAAGGUUCUGGGUUCGAGCCCCGGGGUAGUCCAACCUUUGGGGGGUGUCGUCCUGGGUCGUUCUCUGUGUGGCGUUUGCAUGUUCUCUCCGUCUGCGUGGGUUUCCUCCUACAGUCCAAAGACAUGUUAUGUAGGUCAGGUGACUCGGCCGUACUAAAUUGCCCCUAGGUAUGAAUGUGUGUGUGUGCGUGUGCGUACGUGCGCGCGCGCAUGCAUCGGUGCUGUGUAAUGGCCUGGCAGCCUGUCCAGGGUAUCGCCUCACCUGCCGCCCAAUGACUGCUGGGAUAGGCUCCAGCAUCCCCGCGACCUUGAGAGCAGGAUAAGCGGUUCGGAUAAUGGAUUGAUGGAUGUUGGUGGACUUUGAUAUUGGGCUAUACAAAUAAAAUUGGCUUGAGUUGAUCUAGUUCCCUCCCUUAUAUCGCUGUAGGGUGCCUUUUGGUGUCCGUACAAAAAUAGUUCAUUUGUCACGUCAACAUAAAAAUGACUAUGAAAGGGUUUGUUAUAAAAAAACAAAACAAAACAUUACUUGGCUUUUUAGUUACAUUUUCUAGAUUUUUUUUUUCAAUUUUGUAUAAGAGGAUGCAUGCUAUUUUGCAAUGUCCCAUGGUCAUGCUCAUUCAAUUUCAAUGUGAGUAAAAUAUAGUCAAAAUCAUAUAAU